rnacentral:rRNA from 13 species
UUGCGACCCCAGGUCAGGCGGGACUACCCGCUGAGUUUAAGCAUAUCAAUA